rnacentral:sRNA from 1 species
AAACUAGGACUUGCUCAGCAGAGGCCACCAGCCCGGAGCUAGAGCCAGAGCCCGGCCUUGGGGACCCCAGCUCCCGCCUGCGCCCUGCCUUCCAGAUCAGGUCAAAAGGGGCCCCCAGCCCCUCCUUGCUUUCUGCUUCCUCCCUCUGUAUCUGGCUGGGUGGGUGUGGGGAGGGUUGGAUCCGGGUGGACCCAGGCCCCACCAUCCCUAGGCAAGGGGCCUGCCCUGCCAGGUUCCUGAAGCUGAUGGAAAAGGGUCCCUCCAAGCUCUUGCUGAGCCAGGGCAGACCCUGCCGAGUAAACACUCACUGGCCUGGUCGCCUUCUUACCAUCCAGCCUGGCCUACCUGCUCCCCGAGGAAAGCCAUCACCAAGUCGGGCCUCCAGCACCUGGCCCCCCCUCCGCCCACCCCUGGGGCCCCGUGCAGCGAGUCAGAGCGGCAGAUCCGGAGCACAGUGGACUGGAGCGAGUCAGCGACAUAUGGGGAGCACAUCUGGUUCGAGACCAACGUGUCCGGGGACUUCUGCUACGUUGGGGAGCAGUACUGUGUAGCCAGGAUGCUGCAGAAG